UUAAGUGCUUGCUUUAGUAGUACUAUAGUUGGAAUGAUACAGAGAAGAUUAGCAUGGCCCCUGUGCUAGUAUGACACGCAAAUUUGUGAAGUGUUCCAUAUUUAA